UUAACGCUGAGGUGUGAUGACGAGGCACUACGGUGCUGAAGUAACAAAUGCCCUGCUUCCAGGAAAAGCCUCUAAGCAUCAGGUAACAACGAAUCGUACCCCAAACCGACACAGGUGGUCAGGUAGAGAAUACCAAGGCGCUUGAGAGAACUCGGGUGAAGGAACUAGGCAAAAUGGUGCCGUAACUUCGGGAGAAGGCACGCUGAUGGUAGGUGAAGUGACUUGCUCAUGGAGCUGAAAUCAGUCGAAGAUACCAGCUGGCUGCAACUGUUUAUUAAAAACACAGCACUGUGCAAACACGAAAGUGGACGUAUACGGUGUGACGCCUGCCCGGUGCCGGAAGGUUAAUUGAUGGGGUUAUCCGUAAGGAGAAGCUCUUGAUCGAAGCCCCGGUAAACGGCGGCCGUAACUAUAACGGUCCUAAGGUAGCGAAAUUCCUUGUCGGGUAAGUUCCGACCUGCACGAAUGGCGUAAUGAUGGCCAGGCUGUCUCCACCCGAGACUCAGUGAAAUUGAACUCGCUGUGAAGAUGCAGUGUACCCGCGGCAAGACGGAAAGACCCCGUGAACCUUUACUAUAGCUUGACACUGAACAUUGAGCCUUGAUGUGUAGGAUAGGUGGGAGGCUUUGAAGUGUGGACGCCAGUCUGCAUGGAGCCAACCUUGAAAUACCACCCUUUAAUGUUUGAUGUUCUAACGUAGACCCGUGAUCCGGGUUGCGGACAGUGUCUGGUGGGUAGUUUGACUGGGGCGGUCUCCUCCCAAAGAGUAACGGAGGAGCACGAAGGUUAGCUAAUCCUGGUCGGACAUCAGGAGGUUAGUGCAAUGGCAUAAGCUAGCUUGACUGCGAGCGUGACGGCGCGAGCAGGUGCGAAAGCAGGUCAUAGUGAUCCGGUGGUUCUGAAUGGAAGGGCCAUCGCUCAACGGAUAAAAGGUACUCCGGGGAUAACAGGCUGAUACCGCCCAAGAGUUCAUAUCGACGGCGGUGUUUGGCACCUCGAUGUCGGCUCAUCACAUCCUGGGGCUGAAGUAGGUCCCAAGGGUAUGGCUGUUCGCCAUUUAAAGUGGUACGCGAGCUGGGUUUAGAACGUCGUGAGACAGUUCGGUCCCUAUCUGCCGUGGGCGCUGGAGAAUUGAGGGGGGCUGCUCCUAGUACGAGAGGACCGGAGUGGACGCAUCACUGGUGUUCGGGUUGUCAUGCCAAUGGCAUUGCCCGGUAGCUAAAUGCGGAAAAGAUAAGUGCUGAAAGCAUCUAAGCACGAAACUUGCCCCGAGAUGAGUUCUCCCUGACUCCUUGAGAGUCCUGAAGGAACGUUGAAGACGACGACGUUGAUAGGUCGGGUGUGUAAGCGUAGCGAUACGUUGAGCUAACCGAUACUAAUGAACCGUGAGGCUUAACCUU
rnacentral:rRNA from 1 species